GCCUCCCUCUCUCUUCGCGCUUAACACAUGCAAGUCGAACGGAAAGGCCCUGCUUUUGUGGGGUGCUCGAGUGGCGAACGGGUGAGUAACACGUGAGUAACCUGCCCUUGACUUUGGGAUAACUUCAGGAAACUGGGGCUAAUACCGGAUAGGAGCUCCUGCUGCAUGGUGGGGGUUGGAAAGUUUCGGCGGUUGGGGAUGGACUCGCGGCUUAUCAGCUUGUUGGUGGGGUAGUGGCUUACCAAGGCUUUGACGGGUAGCCGGCCUGAGAGGGUGACCGGCCACAUUGGGACUGAGAUACGGCCCAGACUCCUACGGGAGGCAGCAGUGGGGAAUAUUGCACAAUGGGCGGAAGCCUGAUGCAGCAACGCCGCGUGCGGGAUGACGGCCUUCGGGUUGUAAACCGCUUUCGCCUGUGACGAAGCGUGAGUGACGGUAAUGGGUAAAGAAGCACCGGCUAACUACGUG
rnacentral:rRNA from 1 species